rnacentral:rRNA from 1 species
GUAACGGCGAGUGAAGCGGCAACAGCUCAAAUUUGAAAUCUGGCCCCAGGCCCGAGUUGUAAUUUGCAGAGGAUGCUUCGGGCGCGGCGCCUUCCAAGUCCCCUGGAACGGGGUGCCAGAGAGGGUGAGAGCCCCGUAUUGUCGGACGCCAAGCCUAUGUGAAGCUCCUUCGACGAGUCGAGUAGUUUGGGAAUGCUGCUCAAAAUGGGAGGUAGACCCCUUCUAAAGCUAAAUACCGGCCAGAGACCGAUAGCGCACAAGUAGAGUGAUCGAAAGAUGAAAAGCACUUUGAAAAGAGGGUUAAAUAGCACGUGAAAUUGUUGAAAGGGAAGCGCUUGUGACCAGACUUGCGCCGGGGCGAUCAUCUGGCGUUCUCGCCAGUGCACUCGCUCCGGCUCAGGCCAGCGUCGGUUCGCGCGAGGGGAUAAAGGCGCUGGGCAUGUGGCUCCCCCGGGAGUGUUAUAGCCCAGCGCGUCAUGCUCUCGUGCGGACCGAGGUUCGCGCUCUGCAAGGACGCUGGCGUAAUGGUUACUAGCGACCCGUCUUGAAACACGGACCAAGGAGUCGAGGUUCUGCGCGAGUGUUUGGGUGUUAAACCCGCACGCGUAAUGAAAGUGAACGUAGGUGGGAGCUUCGGCGCACCACCGACCGAUCCUGAUGUUCUCGGAUGGAUUUGAGUAGGAGCGUAGGGCCUCGGACCCGAAAGAUGGUGAACUAUGCUUGGAUAGGGUGAAGUCAGAGGAAACUCUGAUGGAGGCUCGCAGCGGUUCUGACGUGCAAAUCGAUCGUCAAAUCUGAGCAUGGGGGCGAAAGACUAAUCGAACCAUCUAGUAGCUGGUACC